rnacentral:rRNA from 1 species
UACAGAGGUCUCAAGCGUUGUUCGGAUUCCUUGGGCGUAAAGGGUGCGUAGGUGGCGCGCUAAGUCAGGUGUGAAAUUUCGGAGCUUAACUCCGUAACUGCAUUUGAUACUGGUGUGCUUGAGGACUGGAGAGGAGACUGGAAUUCAUGGUGUAGCAGUGAAAUGCGUAGAGAUCAUGAGGAAGACCAGUGGCGAAGGCGGGUCUCUGGACAGUUCCUGACACUGAGGCACGAAGGCCAGGGGAGCAAACGGG